rnacentral:rRNA from 1 species
AACGAACGCUGGCGGCAUGCCUAACACAUGCAAGUCGAACGAACCCUUCGGGGUUAGUGGCGCACGGGUGCGUAACGCGUGGGAACCUGCCUUUAGGUUCGGAAUAACUCAGAGAAAUUUGAGCUAAUACCGGAUAAUGUCUUCGGACCAAAGAUUUAUCGCCUUUAGAUGGGCCCGCGUUAGAUUAGAUAGUUGGUGGGGUAAUGGCCUACCAAGUCGACGAUCUAUAGCUGGUCUGAGAGGAUGAUCAGCCACACUGGGACUGAGACACGGCCCAGACUCCUACGGGAGGCAGCAGUGGGGAAUAUUGGACAAUGGGCGAAAGCCUGAUCCAGCAAUGCCGCGUGAGUGAUGAAGGCCUUAGGGUUGUAAAGCUCUUUUACCAGGGAUGAUAAUGACAGUACCUGGAGAAUAAGCUCCGGCUAACUCCGUGCCAGCAGCCGCGGUAAUACGGAGGGAGCUAGCGUUGUUCGGAUUACUGGGCGUAAAGCGCGCGUA